rnacentral:rRNA from 1 species
ACUGCAGGCUGCAACUCGCCUGCACGAAGUCGGAAUUGCUAGUAAUCGUAGGUCAGCAUACUACGGUGAAUACGUUCCCGGGCCUUGUACACACCGCCCGUCAAACCAUGAGAGUUGGCAACACCCGAAGUCGGUAGUCUAACCGCAAGGAGGACGCCGCCGAAGGUGGGGUUNAUGAUUAGGGUUAAGUCGUAACAAGGUAUC